UUAGCUGGUGUAACCUCCCAAAUAUUCACUUUGAAUCCGUUGAGGAGAUGUUGGCAUUCACAACGCAGUGGGGUUCAUGUGAAAUGAAAAGGAGAGUUUUAAUUAGUAUUUGCUAUGGGACUACAUGGUUUCUUUGGAAGGCAAGGUGUGAUUGGGUGUUCAAAAAAUUAAGAACAUCCCCUGCCAAAGUGGUUGACUCGAUAAAGUCCACGGUGUUUCUUUGGAUGAAAUAUAGGAGAAAACAUUGCACUUUUCAAUGGAUUGAUUGGUGUAUCAAUCCUUUUAUUUGAAUGUAAUUUUUCUUCUUCUUGUACUCUUUGCCCCUCCUAACGUCUUGCUAGGGUGGUGGUUUUUCUAAAUAAUAUUUGCCGGUUCAAAAAAAAAAACAGACUCAACUAAUGUCACCACAUUUCCCAGGUCACAUAAAUUUUGGGACGCAGAAGAUCGCUUCGAGAAUUGUUUAAUCGAUUUAUUGUUAACAUAAAUGCUUAUAUCCACUGUUCAUCUUGGUCCAGGUGAUGACUUCUAAGAUUGUGCUUCCGUUCUUCAUCUAUUUCUCUUUUCUUUUGCAUAUGCGGUAGGUGUAAGGAAUGAUUCAAAACCAUAGAAUGCAACUACAAAAAAUAAGAAGCCCUAAUUUUCAAAUCGCUCAAAUCAAUCUGUCAGAUUUGCAGCUCAUUACAUUCUAGGUUAAUUUCUUGAACUCAAUUUUUUGUAUUUGCAAUAUAUUACCAUAACCAUUUUAUAAAUUUGCGUCCACAACUAGAGCUUAUCAUCCCCAAAUUUUCCCUGUUUAUGUGCUCUGAAUCUAGAAAUUGAUCUUAAAUUAAUUAACUGUUUUUAAAGCAAGCAAAUCUCCAUAAAUUCAUUGAUUUGUAUGACGGAGAGGCUUUAUUAGCUUAAAUUAUGUGAAACCUCUUUAUAUAUAAAUUGAAUUAUGGGAUUUUAGAAGCUACAUACUCCAAUUCAAUGACAUAUUAGGAUGACCCGGUGUAUUUAAUUGCUUACAAUAUUUAAGAGCUGGAGUGUGUAUCUCUGGUGGUAAUUGUAGAUUUGAUCAUCCAAUUUACAAUGGCCAAGUAAACCAAAAGUGUGCAGGUAAUCCAUGAUGUAUUUUCCAAAUAUCAGACUUUGGUUUUUCUUUUCUUCCAAUUUUACCCUUUUACCUGAUUUUCUGUUGUAUGGAGUUUUCAUUCAGAGUUACACUCCACAUGAAUACAUUUUUGAAUUCAUGCAUCCAUGUUGGUUUUCUGUUUCAUAGUAUAAUCAUCAGGUUACUGUCUAAAAUUUGGAAAAAAUUCUUAAUUUUUAUAAUUCUUAACCCUUUUUACUAUUCAGAUAGCAUUUUAAAUUUUCGUUUGCAGUACCCAAUUAGAAGUUGCUAGGUUUAGCAAGUUGUGAAUGUUAAUGGGGCUCAAGAAAACAAACGAUAAAGUGAAUUAUAUUGGAUUUUCAUGGAAACUCAUCAGGCAAAAUACUAGAUAUCUGCUUAAGGUCAAUGAUCAGAGAGAUCUCUGCACUUUUGGAGCACUCUUACCAAUCAGAUUGAUACCAUUCUUGAGUGUAAGAUGGCAAAUUAAAUCGAUAAAUGGAAGCUAUGAAGGACAACAAUAAUCUCCAGAGCAUUGCCAGUUGAUGGAACCACUGAUUUGGAUUGGAAAGCAGAACUAUAACUAGAACGAAUUACAUAAUGUUUUAUCCAUGUUAUUAAGUGCAUAGCAGCUUGCUUUUUGGUAUGAUGGAAUAAAGGAAGGAUAGAAUUUUUCAUUCCAUUGCUAGAUGGAAUUGAAUGGAUCAUUUCGUUCUUUCCAUGUUCCCUACAAACUCAAAACCUAAGUACAUUGCUAUUAUAUGACUUCUUUAUGUUUAAACUAAUUUAUUCAAUAUUAUGUUUCGGAGAACUCUAGGUGGGGGUAAACUGUGGGAGACACCGCUUCACUCAGCUUGCCUUAAUGGCCAGAACGUUGAAAAAUGAAAUUUGUCUCACACUUAUCCAUCUUUUAGGUUAUUAACACAUUGAUCAUAGCAGGAUCAGUUGUAUUAAAGCUUAAACAACUAUGUUAGAUUUAUGUAUUAGACUAAUGUAUUUCAUAUAGCAACUACAUGAGAUCUUUUUCA